ensembl:lncRNA
CACAACUCUGCUCACUGGCUGCAAAUUGCCUGAAGAUUUUGUGCGUGUGAAAUAAAUGCCUCGCUCUCGCCUCAAAUUUCCCUGACCCACGACUGCAUUGCCUCAGAAGGCGCACUUACAAGACUAUCACAUAAGAAAUAAUAGUCAUAUUGAGGAAGGCAUGAAGACAAGAAACUCUAGAUCCUGACCCAGAAAGAUUCAAUAGGAAUUCCAGAAUAAAAAAGUGGAGAGAAUUGUGAAGAAGCAAUACCUGAAGAUAAAUUAUGGUUAAUUUUCCAAGUAAUCAAACCAGUCAGUCCUAAAGGAGAUCAACCCUGAAUAUUCAUCUGAAGGACUGAUGCUGAAGCACCAACACUUUGGCCCCCUGAU